GUAGGGAAUAUUGGGCAAUGGUCGGAAGACUGACCCAGCCAUGCCGCGUGCAGGAAGACGGCCCUCUGGGUUGUAAACUGCUUUUAUCUGGGAAGAAAAAGGCCAUGCGUGGCAAAUUGCCGGUACCAGAUGAAUAAGCACCGGCUAACUCCGUGCCAGCAGCCGCGGUAAUACGGAGGGUGCGAGCGUUGUCCGGAUUUAUUGGGUUUAAAGGGUGCGUAGGCGGCUGAUUAAGUCAGCGGUGAAAGACUUCGGCUUAACCGGGGCAGUGACGUUGAUACUGGUUGGCUUGAGUGUCGGAGGGGUACAUGGAAUUGAUGGUGUAGCGGUGAAAUGCAUAGAUACCAUCAGGAACACCGAUAGCGAAGGCAUUGUACUGGCCGACAACUGACGCUGAUGCACGAAAGUGUGGGGAUCGAACAGGAUUAGAAACCCGUGUAGUCC
rnacentral:rRNA from 1 species